rnacentral:rRNA from 1 species
AGAGUUUGAUCCUGGCUCAGAUUGAACGCUGGCGGCAUGCUUUACACAUGCAAGUCGAACGGCAGCACGGGGGCAACCCUGGUGGCGAGUGGCGAACGGGUGAGUAAUACAUCGGAACGUAUCCUUGAGUGGGGGAUAACGCAGCGAAAGUUGUGCUAAUACCGCAUGAGCUCUGAGGAGGAAAGUGGGGGACCGUAAGGCCUCACGCUGAAGGGGCGGCCGAUGUCCGAUUAGCUAGUUGGUGAGGUAAAGGCUCACCAAGGCUUCGAUCGGUAGCUGGUCUGAGAGGAUGAUCAGCCACACUGGGACUGAGACACGGCCCAGACUCCUACGGGAGGCAGCAGUGGGGAAUUUUGGACAAUGGGGGCAACCCUGAUCCAGCCAUGCCGCGUGAGUGAAGAAGGCCUUCGGGUUGUAAAGCUCUUUCGUGAGGGAAGAAACGGCCAUAGUGAAUAGCUGUGGUUACUGACGGUACCUCAAGAAGAAGCACCGGCUAACUACGUGCCAGCCGCCGGGU